rnacentral:rRNA from 1 species
GUGCAGCAGUCGAGAAUCUUCCACAAUGGGGGAAACCCUGAUGGAGCGACGCCGCGUGCGGGGAUGAAGGCCCUAUGGGUUGUAAACCGCUGUUCAGUGGAAAGAACAUCCUCCGGCUGAAUAGGUCGGAGGCCUGACGUUACCACUGCAGAAAGUCCCGGCCAACUCCGUGCCAGCAGCCGCGGUAAGUACGGGGGGGACGAGCGUUGUCCGGAAUCAUUGGGACGUAAAGGGCGCGUAGGCGGCGAGGAAGUCGAAUGUAGAAAUCUUGCGGCUCAACUG